GGAGUUUUGUGGGCAGGAGAGGUUGAACAAGUGCGAGGAGAAGGCAAACUAGAGGAAUUGAAAUGAACAAAUGCAGGGGCCAGAGUUCUAACUCUCCCCCUGUUCAUCUUUGAUCUCUUCUGCUUGCUGGCAUGUACUGGGCAUCGGAUUAAGUGGUAGCGACGUGGAAACAAUAGCCAGUGUAACAGCUGAUUCACUGAAGACCAUUGAAAAAGUUAAAGAAACUCAGUACUGUGACAGGAAUUAUUCUUCCAUAUCUACUGGCAAGGCUUUCAGGAGUUAUUUCCGUUAAAGGUGUAGGAGCGACACAGCACUGGCCCAGGAAGGCUAGCAUCAUUUACACACAGAUGAAGAUGUUCCUAUUGAGCAAAAGCUUGUUGGGACGAUCACACUUGCAAUGAAUCAUUUAUACAAAGUGGACAUGGCAUUUUAUGUUUUACAGAAUGGAAAUUUUUGAUCCAUAAAUACAUAUCUGGGACCCAUUACUGACAGAGUCAAGGACAACAACAGAUUAACCUACUAGCAAGGAAAAAUCGAAACAAAAAUUAAAAGACUAAAAUAGUCAGGCCACUUGGGAAUCCCAAAAUGAUUGCAAUAUUUGGGAUAUGGUAGAUUUUAAAGAGAUCGCAGGUUUCUAUUGUCUACAGAUAAGUAAGAAGCAAUGAAUGAGAAUGUAAGAGAGUUCUUUGGACUUAUAACUCGAUUUUGGUACAUGGUGGUAAAUAGCCUGAGACUUAGUAAGGUUUCUAUUGAUGUGAUAAACACCACGGCUGAAAGGGUUUAUUUCACUAUGCAAAUUACACUUCAUCAUGAGAAGUCAGAGAAGGAACUCGUCAGGAAUCUGAAAACAGGAACUGAAGCAGAGCAAUGAAGGAACACUUCUCACUGGCUUGCUCCCCAGGCUUUGCCCAGUUUCCUGUCUUCUAUCAAUCAGGACCAUCUGCCCAGGAGUGUCACUUCCUCCAGUGGGCUGAGUCUUCCCAACCCACAUCAAUUAUUAAUACAGAAAAUGCUGUACUGACUUUCUCACAGAUGAUCUGAUGCAGGCAUUUUCACAGCCCAGGCUCUUCUUCUCAGAUACCUGCAUCUUGUGUCACAUUGACAAAAGAAACCUGACCAAGAACAGACUGAGUUUUGUAUUGGGGAGGGCUGGGGUAUCUAACAUUCUGACUCUAACACUGAUCGUCUAUAUGUCUGUGAAGACUCUACUUUACAUCCUUCCCAAGUCAGGACAUAAAGUGUGACAUCUUGGCUUAAUAGCAAACACAUGUUAAGUACUUGUGUGCAAGAUGCUCCCCUAAGUCUUUAAGGGACAUUAUUUUUUAUAAUCCUCAAAUUACCCUUCAGAGGAAAUACAUUGAUCACUGGUAGCUAUGCAAUAAGCUUAUAAAGGGGGUUUCCUCUCACUCAGUUUUCCUUCAAUUUUCAAAAUUCUGUUAGCAAGUUUAGUUCCUUAGUUACUUUCUUAAUACAGAUUUUAGAAUAAGUUUGUUUAAUAGUUUUACUAGGGUUUUCAAAGAAAUUUGUUUGCUAGAACAGUGUAGGGAGAAACAUGCUUACUAGGUUGAGCUGUUUAGCACAUAAAAAUAGCCUGUCUGUUUACACAGAUCUGUGGUUCCUUUCAUAAACUCCCUGGAAUUCUCAGCAUAUAGAUUUUGUAAAUGCUGAGUUUUUGGAGUGACCAUAACUGGUGCUGUGUUUUUUAAAUUGUAGCCAGGCAGCUUCUACCUGUUUAUUUCUACAGAAAUAUGGUUAGUUUUUGUUUGUUGUUCUCAAAUUCUACAACUUUGCUAAAUUCAUUUACCUUGGGAAUUUUUUUUUCUGCAGAGAACAAAUGGGAUUUUUUAUGCAGACAAUCGCUUUAUUAGCAAACAGGGGUUCCUUAGCUUAUGAUGCAUUACAUGCUGAGCUGAAGCCCACAGGGAAACACACCAUGAGCAGGACAUCAGGAAAAUUCAAAUGCCAUUUGAGCUUUUCUGUCCUUGGACACAUCCAAGGAAGCAUUGCCAGUUGUGUGGGAAUGAAAGACUCAUGCUCCCAGCUCUCCAGGUCCUUUAUGUCUGUCGUUUACUCUGCAUAUGUUGGAUGGAAGAGUUGUGGAACCAAAGACACCUGUGUCAGGAGGACAUUUUCAGAGACCAGGUGCCCAUGGAUGUUAAAAAAAAAAAGACCUUUUAUUGGCAGCACUAAAGGAAACCCUGAAGAGAGCUUCCUGCAAGGCUAUUUUGAAGAGGAUAGGACUAUAGAAGUGACAGAAACUGUGACUGAAUGAGGCCAUGGAAGGAUGAAGAACUCAGCUGACUAUGACUCUAGACAACCAGGCUCUUCAGAAAAAGAAACCGGGUGGCCACACGCUGAAGCAAGGACAGCCUGUGGACACAAAAGCUAGCUACUACUUCAUCUGGGCAUGGAGGUUGAAGUGGUGGUUUUGGAAACUUAGGAGGUGGCCAUGGAACUGGCUUUAGUAGCAAUAACAACUUGGUGAAGGAAACUUCAGUGGGUCAUGGUGGCCCUGGUGACAGCUGUAGUGGUGAGAAUGGUGGCAGGGGAGAUGAUGACAAUGAGUUAGUAACAAUGGAAGCAUUUUUAGAGGCACUGAAGUCUAAAGUGAUGUAAACUACAACAACCAAUAUUAAACUUUUGGACACAUGAAAGGAGGGAAUUUUGGAGGAGGAAGCUCUGGUCCGUAUGGUAGUGGAAGCCAGUGCUUUGUCAAGGUGGCUGUGGUGGUUCCAGCAGCAGCACCAGCAGCUACAGCAUUAGCAAAUGUUAGGAGGAAGACUGCAGCAGUUAUUUACUCUUAUCCAUGGAAGUGCUUCCCUAGUAAAUAUCUAUUUGUCAUUUAUCUUGGGUCUGGUGGACUCUCUAAACCCCGCCUUCAAACUCCAGUUUUGGGAGAUCUGAUGCUCUAUUCUGGCCUCCAUGGACACCAGGCAUGCACACAGUGCACAUACAGAUAGACAGACAAACAAAUCACUCACAUGCACAAAGUAAAAGACAAAUAAUUUUUAAACCACAGCUGUACCAGAUAGUGGUGGCAUACACCUUUGAUCCCAGCACUACGGAGACAGAGGCAGGUUGAUCUCUCUGAGUUCAAGGUCAGCCUGGCCUACAGAUUGAGUUCCAGGACAGCCAGAGCUGUUACACAGAAAAAAAACAAAACAAACAAAAGCCAGCAGUAGACAAUUUACAGAUUGUAAUUUAGGGAAAAAAAUCUAUAAUGGGGUUUUCCCAGCAGCAUUUUAGGAAAAAAAAAUUAAAGAAUUAUACAGAGAAUACCCAUGGACUUAUUCCUGUUUUACAAUAUACCUAAAGUAUUUGCUUUAUCUCAUUUUAAUCCAUUCCUCUAAUUCUUUUCUUUCUGGUGCAUUUCUAGGGGAUGAGCUCUGGACACUUGGGAAGGUAUUUUUACAAUCCAUUUUCUCUUACAUCCCUCCCCUGGCUUCCUUACCUCCUUUUGUCAUCACAUUCUCAUGGGGCUAACUGGGGAGAAGGGGCAAGGUGAGGAGACUGAGUGCUUUAAGGGACAGCUGAAAGGUUACCUCUUUUGCAAAGCCUUCUUUGACUAAACACACUGACGAUCUCCUGUGAUCUCAGAGCAGUUGGACAGAUCCCUGCUUAGCCGUUUAUCAGAUGGGCAGUGUGGUUCUUCCUGUACGUGAAUGUCUUUCAUGCGGUUUUCUCAUUUCUAUGUCUAAUGACUAAACCUUGUAUAUCAUGGGACACACAAGGGGCAUGAGUCGGUAGGUGAACAAUGCAUCCUCGCUUCAGGCAAACAAAACAGUUUGGAUCUGUUUUUGUUGAUUGUGGUUCUUUUUUUUUAAUUAUUACUUUGUUAGGUCAAACUAGAAUGGUUGCUUUGCUUAAGGAUAUUUACAGUCUACAUGGUUUUAGUGGAAUGCAUAAAGAAGGCAAGGUAAUGGUCCUGUUAAACUACAAACCACAAUUCCAGUUUUGUAUCUCAAAAUCAAGAGUGGCUAUUACUGUGCAAAAAUGGAAUGACGGUAUCAAGCCCCAAUCUCUGACUCAUGGGUCACGUCACGCCAUCUGUGUUAUUCUUUGGUAGUGUGGCC
ensembl:lncRNA